CCAGACUCCUACGGGAGGCAGCAGUGGGGAAUAUUGGACAAUGGGGGGAACCCUGAUCCAGCGACGCCGCGUGAGUGAAGAAGUAUUUCGGUAUGUAAAGCUCUAUCAGCAGGGAAGAAAGAAAUGACGGUACCUGACUAAGAAGCCCCGGCUAACUACGUGCCCGCAGCCGCGGUAAUACGUAGGGGGAAAGCGUUAUCCGGAUUGACUGGGUGUAAAGGGAGCGUAGACGGCGAUGCAAGUCUGAAGUGAAAGGCGGGGGCCCAACCCCCGGACUGCUUUGGAAACUGUAUAACUGGAGUGCAGGAGAGGUAAGUGGAAUUCCUAGUGUAGCGGUGAAAUGCGUAGAUAUUAGGAGGAACACCAGUGGCGAAGGCGGCGUACUGGACUGUAACUGACGUUGAGGCUCGAAAGCGUGGGGAGCAAACAGGAUUAGAUACCCCAGUA
rnacentral:rRNA from 1 species